GGGGUGGUGUUUACUGCCGAUCACUCGGGUCGACCAGCAUCCCCCCGAGUCCCUCCAUCCGCGGGGCCUCGGAGCGGGCAGGGAGAUGGUCUUCCGUGCUGGAGUGCUUGUUGCUAGCCGGCCAGGUUCCUGGGUCACCGUUGGAGGCGUUCGUCUCCCCUCCUCAGUCCUCCUGCUCCAAGCUCCGUGGCUUGACCAGCGCCCGAGUCCGUGCUCGGGGGGGGCUCGUUAGUGUGUGUGCCGGAACCCCGUUUCAGGGCUAAUACUUGUCUUGCUCCUGGUGGAUCUGAAGGGGAGAUUUACGUGGCGAGGACGGUCGGUGUGUCUAGGAGCUGGAGAGCGUUUCGGACGUUUUCUCUGCCCGCGGGGGCCGCCUGGGCUAUGUCUCGCGGCCAGAAGAAAGUGAACGUGCCCCGCGCGUUCUGAGUCCACAUUUUCCGUUUGCCUCGCCUGGGAGUGGCCGUGUGUCUACGUUGGCGGACGGCCCUGAGUUCCCGCCGGUUGUCCUUAGAUCCCGGUCGUCCUCCCCUGGAGUAAAGACGGGCCCGGACGGCAGAACAAGGACACGCUGGGCUGCGGGCUGGGGCGACACCGCGUUGCCUGUUCUCGGGUCUCCCCGCCCCGUGGGGCCCAUAUACUCACCAGGGCCUAGGGGCGGGGUAGACUGCGUCUUUGUGGGAACCGCCUGUGGUCCCUUCUGUUCCCCUUAGGGGCUCGGCGGUUAUGUAGACCCUACACACGGGUUUCUCACCGCGGCUGACAACAGGGAACGUGGUGGGCGAGCAAGGAGGACCCCAGUGCGCGCCUUCCGUCUUGUACGGGUGCGGUGGUGGAAGCUCCAAAUGUUUCAGACGCAGGGAGCGGGAGGGGGCCGUCCGGUGAGAGUCGAGGGGAGACGCGAUCCUGGCGUUAACUUUAGUCCUGGAAAAGCCUCUGAAAACGAGUGGAUGGGAGGACGCUUGGGGAGAGGAAUGCAGCCUGCGGUGAAAUAGGAGGAAAUGAGUGAGGAGCGGGGUUGCUGUGCCGUUUCUGCCCUCAGAUAUGCACUUAUACUACUGGCGUUUAUGCUGUUUCGUUGUAGCUGGAUGGUCACCACAGACAGGUCGACCAGACGGCCAGACAACUUUGAGGUUUUUGUACAUUGAUUAUGUGUGUGUUUAAUUGGAGUACUGAAAUAUAUAAUAAUGAAAAUUACUAUUAUUGUUACAUUACUGUAAUUAUUACCGUUGUCUGUAAUUAUAAAGUUUAUCCACAGAAUAGCUGCUCAGUUGAAGAUGACCAAAGAGGGAGUUUCAGUAUGUCUAAAUAUUGGUUUAAAAGCAGAGGAAACUCUCUACAACCCACGCGGCCUGCUCCAUGCCCUGGAGCAACCAUUCUGGAAGUCCAGACCCCUAAACUCUGCAGCAUGAGGCCUCAAGGUCUGGUCUUGGAAAGGAACCCUUUCCAGGGCCCUAGAGUGGGCUCACAAUGCUGACAAAGCAAGAGACUUGAUUGGGAAGAGGUACUCAGGAGGAUAGCAGCAGGAUAUGGGAAGAAGCAACAAGAGGGAAUAUUCUCCUGGGCCAAGAGUCUAGUGAGACAGGUAUGGUCCAGAGACUUGCUACUUGCAAGGUCUGGUCUAGUAACAGCACAGAGUGGCCUGUCAAUGGAAUCUUCAUUAGACCUGGGACACAAAGGCCAUGAAAUGCCCCCAAAGCAUGGUCAAAUAUGUGGCUGUGAAGAGACCAUGUUGACUGGAAGUUGGCACUUACCUGCUGUCUCUACAAAGAUUUCAUCAUGACCACUGCAAGUUGCUGACCUUCAACCCCCCUUGAAAGGAGUUCAGGAUGGAGAUAAGAAAUAAGGCACUCUGUGCUCUGGGAAAAACCCAGAAGAACUGGCCUUCGGAGAGUCAGAUGCUUUCAGAAUACAACAAAUCUCCAAGUGAUAGUUUGACAAGAAUAUUCCUGGCCAACACCCAGACAAUGCUGGAACAAGCCGCCUUAUCAUUCCAUGGACUCUCAUCUCCCUCCAUAAAGGCACAACACCCCUGUACAGCCUGAAGAAGUCAGAGUGGUCAUCGCGCCUUUUCCCCUGAGACUGGGUUUCCAAAUGCCUGAGAAGGGAAAUAGUUAGAUAGUUAGACGUGAGCAGGGUAUCAAAAGGGGUCAAAGAAUUGGCCCUAAAAAUAAAGAGAGGGAUGAAAGUAGUGACCCAAGGACCGAAGAGCAGAUAAAACCAAGGGGGAACGGAAUGCAGGAAUGGAAAACCAGACCCUUCUCAUCCUUCCCUCCCCCAUGUUGUAACUAUUAACAGAUUUCAGGUCCUCCUGAGCAAUAUAACCUGUCUCCCUUCCUACCCCAUAGGGAGAAGGUCUUUGCCUCACUCUCCGCCCUCCCCCUUCCCCCCAGGAGAUGUGCCUCAUCCAAUCAGCAAAUGACCGGCAAGACCCCUAUCCUGCUCCCUGUACCCUGGGUAUAAAAUUGGAAUAAGGACCCCUGUUCAACGAUGGUUCUCUCUUGAGCUGGCCCACAGUUCCAAUGGUGUCUCCCACUCCAAUAAACUUCAUUUCCCUCUCA